GAGCCGAACAAAAUCCCACCGCUCCUCCCAUUGCUAAAGUUCUUGCCGCGUCUCAGGCUCCGCCGCUAUUACCCCACCUCCAAGCCCCAUCGCCACCUUGGAUUCCUUGGCCUGGGCUCCCUUCCUUUAGUCUUCACGGCUCACCGCGGGGAACUCCGGCCCGGGUCAUACACGGCGUCAAGCUCCCGAUCCUUGGCAAUAUGGGGAUGGGGGCCUGAAGUUCUCUGGGUGGCCGUGACCGCCGUGGGCGACGAAGGGGAUCAACAUGGCUGGUGCGGCCGUGAGCUCCCAGAUGGAGCGGCGCCGGCCGCUGCCUAUGAAUUUCACCGUCGGGGGAGAGCCGCCACAGCGGCUCCUUUUCUCCUCUCUUCCUCCCCACCGACCGCUGCCCGUCACGCUCGACUGCCGGCCGAUCUAAGUCCUACGCAGGCGCAUCGGCGGUAGUGAGGAGCCUUGGGACUACCCGGUAAUCCGGAGACCGGCGGGGACGGCGCGCCAGCUUUGAGGAAGGGGACGGCGUGAAGGGAUGCGCCCCCGGACCUCUACUGAUUCCGCCGCCGAGGCGCGAACACCCUGGCAGUCGAUGAUGCGGCCGCGGCCUCACCCUGCACCAGUCCUCCAGCGUGUGCGCGUAUACGCAGCCGACCCCAGCGGCGGCGACGGCGUGCACACGCGCCGGGUGCCGGCAGGGCGCGAGGCGAAGUCCCUCGGCACGAAGAUCGGUGGGCUCCCGACUAGACGGCCACCUGGAGGCAUUCAAUCGCUCAAAUCUAGCGCCCGAGAGAGGAGUUGGGGAGGAUAAAAAGAGGUCGUUUCACAGCGUGGUCCAGCGCUGCAGUGUCGAGCAACAAUGCCCGUGGAUGCCAUGGUCAAGCGCUACGGUGGACGAGUACAUGUACGCAAUGGUUGAGCGACGCUGAUGGGAAUUGAUUGGGGAUUUUGACUGCUGCUCUGCUCCCGUUUUCGCCAGAGGCUGGAUGUUGCUCUAGGAUCUGCCGGCUGGGUCGGGCGGAUUUGCCGUCCGCCAGCGCUGCCGCUGCUCGGAGUUGUUGCUGUGAUGGGAACUGAAGGGUGUGGUGCAGAGUUGUUGGUGGCCGCUGGCUUUGUUUGAUUCGUCCGUGGUUCUGCGGACGUUUUUAUGCUUCAAUGAGUUGUGAUUUCCGAUUCAAUCACUUGGUUAAUUUUUAGUUUGCUGAUUGCUCUUUCGCUGCUGUGGUUUAGCUUUUCGGCCGUGUUUGUUGGCAUAGAUCCUAACUGCUGCUGCAAUCUUUGCCAAAGUGCCGUACGUCUUGAUCUGGCCGAUACUUUUGGCUGAGAGCAACACACAGAGUACAAGCUUCCAGCGACUUGCUUUCUCGCUGAACCUGGACGCAAGCUAACUAACAUGAUGAUUGAUUAAUUGAUCUACUAGCAACACAUGCGAAUCAAUCUGGAUUGCUAGAGGCACAUGUCAUGUCCUUACUUCUUUCUAUUAUUUUCCAAUCGCACAGAUUACAGGGAGGUUACAUAUGUGUAUAAUUAACCUAGCUCUGAAUAACUAGGAUUAUAAUACUAAUUCAUACUCCCUCCUUUUCCCACGCCAGCCCCUUCUUUGCCCCGUGCUCCUCUCUCCGUUUCUAGAGUUCACUGAUGCUUGGUCUCUGACACGCAGGUCUGCGUGGCUUCCGAUGAUAUGCCAGGUCGCCCCGUGCUGCAACGCCUCCGGGUCGUUAUCUGUAAUGUUUGCAGAGAGGGGCUGAUACAGUUGGUCGAGUAGUUCUCAAGCCGAGGGGAUAAACCUUGGAAGGCUCUAUACCAAGGAAUCUGGAGUUUAUAGUACACAUGUACUUCCUCAUAAACCAAUUGAGCUUUCAUUGGCAUUGUAGAAGACGAUACAUUGUUCUUUGACUAUAUUGCUGGUUCAACGCUCAAAGUGACCAUCUUCAGGUACAAUGGAUGCGAGAAGAUCUAGGACCACUGUACUUAGAGAUCAACGUGAAAUAACCUUUUGUUCAUCGGUAUAGCUAUCCAUGCUAUCGCUUAUAUAUAAUAAUAAUAGUUCUUCUCUCUUACUCUCUGAGAUUACCAAUUGAUCAUCCAUUGUAGAAUGAUGAUCAAUAUACAGUACCAAGUAUUAUUACUAGACUAAAUUAUUACUAGACUAAAUUUCUGUCUC